AUUGAACGCUGGCGGCAGGCCUAACACAUGCAAGUCGAGCGGUAGAGAGAAGCUUGCUUCUCUCGAGAGCGGCGGACGGGUGAGUAAUGCCUAGGAAUCUGCCUGGUAGUGGGGGAUAACGUUCGGAAACGGACGCUAAUACCGCAUACGUCCUACGGGAGAAAGCAGGGGGACUUCGGGCCUUGCGCUAUCAGAUGAGCCUAGGUCGGAUUAGCUAGUUGGUGGGGUAAUGGCUCACCAAGGCUACGAUCCGUAACUGGUCUGAGAGGAUGAUCAGUCACACUGGGACUGAGACACGGUCCAGACUCCUACGGGAGGCAGCAGUGGGGAAUAUUGGACAAUGCGCGAAAGCCUGAUCCAGCCAUGCCGCGUGUGUGAAGAAGGUCUUCGGAUUGUAAAGCACUUUAAGUUGGGAGGAAGGGUUGUAGAUUAAUACUCUGCA
rnacentral:rRNA from 1 species